rnacentral:rRNA from 1 species
UACGUAGGGGGCUAGCGUUGUCCGGAUUUAUUGGGCGUAAAGAGCGUGUAGGCGGCCAGGUAGGUCCGUUGUGAAAACUCGAGGCUCAACCUCGAGACGUCGGCGGAAACCCUCUGGCUAGAGUCCGGAAGAGGAGAGUGGAAUUCCUGGUGUAGCGGUGAAAUGCGUAGAUAUUGGGAGGAACACCAGUGGCGAAGGCGGCUCACUGGACCGGUUCUGACGCUGAGGCGCGAAAGCGUGGGGAGCAAACGGG